rnacentral:rRNA from 1 species
AACGUAGGGGGCCAGCGUUGCUCGGAAUUACUGGGCGUAAAGGGUCCGUAGGCGGUGCGGCAAGUCGGAAGUGAAAUCUCACGGCUUAACUGUGAGGCUGCUUCCGAAACUGCCGUGCUCGAGUGCGGGAGAGGCGAGUGGAAUUGCAGGUGUAGCGGUGAAAUGCGUAGAUAUCUGCAGGAACACCCGUGGCGAAGGCGGCUCGCUGGACCGCAACUGACGCUGAGGGACGAAAGCUAGGGGAGCAAACAGG